CCUACGGGGGGCAGCAGUGGGGAAUAUUGGACAAUGGGGGCAACCCUGAUCCAGCCAUGCCGCGUGUGUGAAGAAGGCCCUCGGGUUGUAAAGCACUUUCAGUGAGGAAGAACGCCUGGUGGUUAAUACCCAUCAGGAAAGACAUCACUCACAGAAGAAGCACCGGCUAACUCCGUGCCAGCAGCCGCGGUAAUACGGAGGGUGCGAGCGUUAAUCGGAAUUACUGGGCGUAAAGCGCGCGUAGGUGGCUUGAUAAGCCGGUUGUGAAAGCCCCGGGCUCAACCUGGGAACGGCAUCCGGUACUGUCAAGCUAGAGUGCAGGAGAGGAAGGUAGAAUUCCCGGUGUAGCGGUGAAAUGCGUAGAGAUCGGGAGGAAUACCAGUGGCGAAGGCGGCUUUCUGGACUGACACUGACGCUGAGGUGCGAAAGCGUGGGUAGCAAACAGGAUUAGAUACCCUAGUAGUC
rnacentral:rRNA from 1 species